rfam:Camelus ferus unplaced genomic scaffold scaffold115, whole genome shotgun sequence.
GAGGGUAUAGCUCAAGUGGCAGAGCACGUGCUUAGCAUGCACAAGGUCCUGGGUUUGAUCCCCAGUACCUCCU